UACGUAGGGACCGAGCGUUGUCCGGAAUCAUUGGGCGUAAAGAGCGUGUAGGCGGCCUUUUAAGUCCUGCGUGAAAUCCUGCGGCUACAACCCGGCAGACGGUCGUGGGAAACUGGAAGGCUAGAGUGCGGGAGAGGAGAGUGGAAUUCCCGGUGUAGCGGUGAAAUGCGCAGAUAUCGGGAAGAACACCCGUGGCGAAGG
rnacentral:rRNA from 1 species